AAGAUAGUGAGAAUGGAAAAGAAGUUCCUAAGGAAAAGAAGAUGAAGCUGAAGAAUAUAUCAUGGGCCAUAGCAAGUUUAACACUAAAACGCACUUCAGCACCAGACUCGAAUGAGUUAGAUACAAACAUACCUCCUAUAAAUCUCGAUUUGAGUCAGUUUAAUGGGUCCAUGAGGAGAGCAAUGGAUGAAGCUGAUAAGAAUUGCUGGU